rnacentral:rRNA from 1 species
CGAACGGCUGAGUAACACGUGGGCAACCUGCCCUCCUCUUGGGGAUAGCCUCGGGAAACCGAGGAUAAUACCCGAUACUUCACUUGAGCCGCAUGACUCAAGUGAGAAAGCUUUUGCGGAGAAGGAUGGGCCCGCGGCCUGUUAGCUUGUUGGUGGGGUAGAGGCCUACCAAGGCAAUGAUGGGUAGCUGGGUUGGGAGACCGACCAGCCAGAUUGGGACUGAGACACGGCCCAG